GGGACCGCGUCCUGUCCCGAAUGGAUGCAAUUAAUUAUCCCUGACCUGAGAGGAAAUGAGAUUCCUAAUGAAAAGGCUUUGCGCUUGUUCAGUAAAUGCUUGUCUAUCAGGAUAAAGAGCCAAGCUGAAAAAGAUCAACCUGGAGGCUAGGCAUGGUGGUGCAUGCCUGUAAUCCCAGCGCUGGAGAGGCUGAGCCCUGAGGAUCGCUGCGAGUUCGAGGGCAGCCUGGACUACAAAUACCAGGAGUUGAACCCAGGAGACUUGCAAGUGCUGCACCACUGAGCCACACCCAGCCUAUGGACGGAAAGAGAAAGAGGAAGCCUCAGGGUGUGACCGGCUACUUUUAGUUAUGGAAUCUUGACGAAAUGAAGGGCUAUGCAGGAGAUCCACAAAGCACAGUUCCAGCUCUCCUACUGCUAUGAUGUCUGCAACUCUCCUCCGCUGCGUCCUUUCCAUCAUGAUGCUCAGCCUCAUCGCAGGAACAGGGAAUCAACUGAGCAUUACAAGAAGAUGUCCAUCUGCAAGCCAGGAAGUUGCUUCACCAUCCUUGCCAGAUCUACAGAUACCCUGCUCUUCCAGCCUGCAGAUGUGUGAGACAUAUUUACUAUUUGAGCCGUUUGUGGUAUUUCUGUUAGCGUCACCAGAGCUAUGACUGGCACCCACGAGGUGAGGCAGGAAGCACCUACCACUGCAGAGUGUCGUGCAGUGAAGCAGUGGUGAAGUGAGACUAAUUUAAAGCAGAGGGGGACCCUUGCUUCACAGGCUGUGAAGAAGAUGGAAAACAUAAUUUCCUUUCUCUCUGUCUUGCCCUACUAAGAGCCCUGAAGGGUGAUGCCCAGAGACAGGGAAGGAAGGAUCUAAAAAGAAAUAUAUGUUCAGGGCCAGGGAUGUAACUCAGUGGCACAGAGACUGCCUGGUGAGCAUGAGGCCCAGUUUGAUUCCUGGUACCAAAACAUAAGGUAAAGAACUAAAGUUCAUUUUGUGGAUAUAGGUCUGGUUCCAUAGGGUGUAACAAAAGCAAUCACAAACCAAGAAAACAAAACUGCUAAGCCAGUAGCUGAGGCAGGACUGGUCAUUGGGAGACCAAGAUGAACAAUUUGAAAAGGGGGUGUGGGAGAGGAGAACGCUGUUAUUCCCCAAAAGGCAGGAUGGUGACCUGCCCACCAAAAAUCUCUUCCACCAAACAAAACAUUUCAGGCUCUUGUAUUUUAUCUACCCUCAGAAAUUAAUUUCAUAGUGCAACAUAAAAAAGUUUUAUUUGUAAUUCUAAAAGCCAGCCUGAACUGCAUAGUGAAACCCUACCUCAAAAAGACAAAAAAAAAAAAAAACACAAAAAAACCCAGCCAGGUGUAGUGGCACACACCUGUAAUCCCAGCACUCAGAAGGCUGAGGCAGGAGGAUUCCUGCAAGUUUGAGGCCAGCCUGAGCUACAAAAUGAGUUCAAGACCAGCUUGACACAUAUAGUGAAACCCUGCCUCAAAAAAACCAAAAAUAAAUUAAUUAAUUAAUUUAAUUAAAUUUUAAACAACCCACACACAAAAAUAAAAUAAAUAAAAGCUUACUACUCUCAAAUAAUUAUAAAUAAACAUGAAUUAUAUGUAAGGCCAUAUGCAAUGAGCAACAGGAAAAUAUUUAAUGAAGCUUUCAAAAUACAAACUGCUUCCGGGCAUAGUGGCAAUCCCAGCACUCAGGAGGCUAAGGCAGGAUUAUUGUUGUGAGUUCAAGACCAGUCUGGGCUCCAAAGUGAGCUCAAAGCCAGCCUGAACUGCAUAGCAAGACCCUGUCUCCAAAAAAAAAAAAAAAAAACAAACAAACAAAAAAAAAACUGCUGAGCAUUUUUCCUCUAAGGUAACUUUUCUGAACUUGGCACUGCAACUAUUCUUAAAUCCAGUUUUCAUUUGAAAUGCCAUGUCACCUAUUAUAGAAGAAUUCACUUCAUAAUGGCAAGUAUAUGUAUGUGCCAUUUUUAGCACAUGAAUAGCAUAACUCUUCUUAUUAGCUAUUCCCAGCUAGUAAUGUACUAUAAAGCAAUGGGCUGAGGCAGGAGGAUUGCUGUGAGUUCAAGGCCAGCCUAUACUGCACAGUGAAAGCUUGUCUCAAAAAGACAAAAUAACAAUAAUAAAUAAAAUAAAACAAUGGAAUUCAUUUCUAGUUACUGCCUUAACUUAUGAAUGAAAGUGUUUUCUCCUGUAAGUCAUGUUGGAGACUAUAUUAUUAUCACAAUGAUUCUGACAUUGAUCAAAGUUAACUUUCAAGACUCUUCUGUCUUGUUUUGUGGUUGUUGUUGUUUUGGCAUUUGUUUGUUUGAGGCAGAGUCUCAUCUUCCUAUAUAUUCUAGGAUGGCCUGGAAUUCAAAAUCAUCCUCCUACCUCAACCUCCCAAGUGCUGGGAUUAUCUUUUUUGGGGGGGAUUCUUUUUGAGACAGGGUCUCAUUCUGCAGUUCAGGCUAGCCUUCAGCUUACUUCAUAGCCCAGGCUGGUCUCGAACUAUCAAUGAUCCUCCUGCCUCAGCCUCCCAAGUGCCAGGAUUAUAGGCAUGAGCCACCGUGCAUGGCUUUGAGAUUAUCUUUUAUAUGUCCCUAAUGACAAAAAAUCUUUGGCUUUUGAGGUCCAUUUCUACUUACAAAAAGUGAGAAAUCAAAUUCAAAGAUCUAUGAUCAGUAUUACAAGUAAUUAAGAUAAAAUAAUAUCCUUGGGCUGAGGAUUUAGUAUAUGUGCUGCCGAAGCGAGCACUGGGCUGAGGAUUUAGCUCAGCAGCAUUUGGGCCUGCCUGGCAAGUGCGAGGUUGUGAGUUCACUCACUGAUACAAAAAAAUAAAAAUAAAAAAUACAAUAAUAACCUUCUAUAUAUCCUUAAUUGGCCCUAGUAGCAAUUUGUUAAAAAUCAAGUACAAAUAUGGGCUCAGUGUUUGCCCAAGGACAUACCCUCCAAGGAGGCUGCUGUGGAAGCUAGCCCACUGAUGUGUUCUACUACUUGAAUAAACUUUUCUGGAAUGCUCAAUAUUUAAUAUAUAUACUAUAUUGGUAUGCCUGUGAUAAUCAAUUAAUUACAUAUAAAAAUCCCCCCCAAGGAGACCACUCUCCCACUAGGCUGGCUGGUUGAGAGUCACCCACCAAGCAAGCUGCCUGCUACGAGCUAUAUCAGCCUAUGAUGGGAAGUAGUGAUUUACCAGAUGUUCCAGCACUGCUGUGGCCUCUGCUGCAACAAAGCCCCACCUACAGAGCUAGUUGGCCAGAGACCACAGGGUUGAGUAAUGCCGCCAUUCAAUCCAAGUAGAAUUCAGUUCAGCAAAACCUCCAGAACACUGGGGUGCAAGACAGGUACACAGGAGCCUCCACAACAGCCCAUCAGAGAAGCUGACAGCCCAGCAUCAGGUUUACGGCACCAUCUGAUUGCAUUCUAAACUGUGUUUUCACACUCUUUUAUCUUUAAUAAGCACAUUUCUUGUUUGAAAGCAGUCUGCUUAUCACUUUCAGUUUCAAAAAUUUAUCUGGGAUUCACAGACCAACAAAAGUGUGCCUCUGUUCUUAAAAAGGUCUGCUGUCCAGUAACACCUUACAUGAACAUCCUGGUCCCUCAGUGACUUCUGCCAAAUUUUCAAAGACUAGGCAUCAAGAAUGAAAUAUCUUCCUUCUCCUUCUCCUUCUCCUUCUCCUUUUGUGUCUUCUUGAGACAGGAUUUCACUAUGGAAUUCAGGGUGCCCUUGAACUCACUUUGUAGCCCAGGCUGGCCUCGAACUCACAGCAGUCCUCCUGCCUUAGCCUCCUGCUGGGAUUAUAGGUGUGUGCUACCAUUCCCAGCCUGUUUCAGUUUUUCAAAAAAAAAAAAAAAGCUGAGGAUGUAGCUUAGUGUCAAGUCCUUGGGUUCAAUCCCUACCACCAAAAGAAAGAAAAAAUAAAUUGAAUAAAUAAUCACGGUCUUGAAUCGUUGUGCCAAGAUUAUAAUAGACUUUAUAUCCCGAACGUAACAAUGCUGCACUGAGAAACUUGUGCAGAAGAACAUCUCAGUUAGACUGUGAUAUACACCACCAAACAAGGAGAGCGUGGAGCUACCAGAGGGAUACAGCAUGGCCAAGAAAUCAGCAACAUCAUUUCUGUCUGGAUUAGUUUUAUGAAAAACAUGAAUUAAUAAUUUUCUUCACCAUGUUUAAAAGAAUAAUUUGAGAAAUAAUUUCUUACCAAUUUUUUUCAUAAUUGUUAAAUAAAUUCUCCACACUUCU